rnacentral:lncRNA from 1 species
GGACACUUCCUUUAAGAACAGUAUUGAUAGACUGCCUUUAUGCAAAUCCCUUUGGAAGAAAGGAUGGAGAGGAAGAAGCCGGAAACAGAUGAGAGGCAGGAAAUACCAAAUUGCAUGUUUAUAAAUGCUGUGAAGGAAUAUGGCAAGAGGGGAUAAUGCUAGACUGGCGGCCAUGGAAACUGAAGUCUUCUGUUUGUUCACAGGACGGCUCAUAGCCCUGAAAGUCCCAGUUCAAGCUUCCACAAUCAUCCUACACAAGAGCACUGCUUCUCACAGGACUGCCUCAGCCUGGCAGGAUUCAGUCUCCUGCUCUGAGGGAAAAACAGGAAGUCAAGGAUCAAGACCGAGUGCUCAACUGAGAUCAGAAAGGAGGACACACAGUGACUUGGCCAAAUCACUGGAGAUUCACACAGCAGAGCUCAGACGAGUGCUAUCAGCACAGCUGAGGAAGACAACAGUUAGGGUGCAAGGAUCCUGAAAGAGAAACAUUGGUUGUGUUUUUAUUCCUUGGGUAUAAGAAUCCUGAAAGAGAAAGGCAUCUGAACCUUGGAGGCAUGGGGUUCAUCUCAUCCUCAUCCAGCCUGUGAUGAUGGAGCUGUUUUCACCAGAAACGUGAGGAGACUCAUACCACUUGAGGUAGUGUGGAUGUGUGGCACAGUUUUGGAGAGGGCUAUUCCCCUACCUUUACAUGGAAUCCAGUAACUCUCUGAAAACAUAGCAAUGGCAAAAGUCCUUUUCGAGACUGCAAGGAAAACAAACAACUACCAAGAGAAGUCCAAGCAUCAGGGAAAGAAUGAAGUGGUGUGGAGACCAUAGCCAAUAGCUGCUUUAUGAGCACAUUUGUGGCUACCCUUGGGGACCCAAGAAAUAACCGGUUCUGCUUAAAUUCAGCAUCUUCUCUCAGUUCAAAUUUAAGAAAGGAGAUACCACACCACCCACCGACAUAUCCCAUUCUGGAAGAGUAUACAAACUAAAGAUAGAAAACUUCUCAAAUCUACCUGGAAGCUUGCAUAUUCAAAGGAACUAUUUGUUGGAGUGCCAGAUUAUUUAAGGGCCUUUGCAUGUUUCAAGUCCUCUUCUUAAAGUAAGAAUACUCUCCACAUUUAUAACAGCAACAAAAACACCAAUGUCAGCACAAAAUGCAAAAACGGAGGCACUUCUAUGUCAUAAUGAUACAUCAGAGUUCUGCUCAACUCUUUUUUAGAAAAAGAAGCUCAGACUUACACACAUCCACUUUCUUAAAUAAAUAAUUGUUCAAUGAAAGUUACCCUGGGAGGAUUGCUGUCUCCAGCUCCCAAGCACUGCUCAUCUGCUGACGGGGGGUACUCUGUGACUGUUACAGAAAUUGCUCUUAAAUGCAUAAAACACAGAAGAGAAUUUUUGGAAAAUCCCUUAUUAUUCAUUAAAGCAUUUUAGGGCCUCAUUAAUCCAGAUGGGUUAAUCGGUUGUUGAUUUGCCAGGUUGUUAAGCAUCCAUUGUCAGAUGCUGAUGGGGUGUGAGAAAAUAUAAUUCCGAUCUACCAAAGAGUCACCUGAAUGAGGCUAGCACUUCAUCAGGGAAGGCUGUAUCUUCCUCAGGGAAGGCUGUGUCUUCAUCAGGGAAGGCUGUAUCUUCCUCAGAGAAGGCUGUAGCUUCCUCAGAGAAGGGUGUAUCUUUACCAGGGAAGGCUAUGUCUUCAUCAGGGAAGGCUGUAUCUUCCUCAGAGAAGGCUGUAUCUUCACCAGGGAAGGCUGUAUCUUCAUUACGGAAGGCAGUAUCUUCUGGGGAUAAAUUAAGCUGGGCAUCCAGCUUCUUCUUUAAUUUCCAAAACUUCUCUGUAUCACAAAACAUUCCUCAUUCUUUGGGUGUUUUUUUUUUGUUUUUUUGUUUUUUUUUUUUUUGCCUACCUAAGGUCUGAAAUGAUGUCAGAAGCCAUUUUCAAAAGCUAGUUCGUAACAGGUCAACAGGUCAGUCGCACAUAUGCACUUAGGCACAGAAGCCCAACAUUUAAAGAUGUUUGUGUGUACGUGUCUGUAUACGUGUAUACACAUCUGUGUAUAUGUUUGUGUCUACACAUGUAUACACGUCUAGGCGUAUAUGUUUGUGUCUACACGUCUGUGUAUAUGUUUGUGUCUACAUGUGUCUAUGUGUUUGUCUAUAUGUCCAUAUGCGUAUAUUUGUGUGUGUCUGCGUGUGUGUGCAUGAGUUUGGCUUUGACUUUGUUUCAAAGUUCUUAGCUAGAGCCUGUCCACAUCUUCAGCCCUUCAGACACAAAUGGUAUUCAGGUUAUCAAGGGGAUUCUUUAGCCAGGGCUUAAAAACUCAACUUUCUUUCUUUCCAAACCUUGACUGACUGAGAGUCACAUAACAGCAGUGAGCACAGUGAGAAAAGUCCCUGGAUUAGAAGUUGGAAAAUAUGAUUCAGGGUCCUGGUUCUGUUUUAAGAGAGGAAGUGACCAUCAUUAG